rnacentral:rRNA from 1 species
CAGCCGCCGCGGUAAUACAGAGGAUGCAAGCGUUAUCCGGAAUGAUUGGGCGUAAAGCGUCUGUAGGUGGCUUUUCAAGUCCGCCGUCAAAUCCCAGGGCUCAACCCUGGACAGGCGGUGGAAACUACCAAGCUGGAGUACGGUAGGGGCAGAGGGAAUUUCCGGUGUAGCGGUGAAAUGCGUGGAUAUCGGAAAGAACACCAGUGGCGAAGGCGGCUGCCUGGACUGACACUGACACUGAGGCGCGAAAGCGUGGGGAGCAAACAGGAUUAGAUACCCCGGGUAGUCCCUGUCUCUUAUU